GAUGAACGCUGGCGGCGUGCCUAAUACAUGCAAGUCGAGCGAACAGACGAGGAGCUUGCUCCUCUGACGUUAGCGGCGGACGGGUGAGUAACACGUGGAUAACCUACCUAUAAGACUGGGAUAACUUCGGGAAACCGGAGCUAAUACCGGAUAAUAUAUUGAACCGCAUGGUUCAAUAGUGAAAGACGGUUUUGCUGUCACUUAUAGAUGGAUCCGCGCCGCAUUAGCUAGUUGGUAAGGUAACGGCUUACCAAGGCGACGAUGCGUAGCCGACCUGAGAGGGUGAUCGGCCACACUGGAACUGAGACACGGUCCAGACUCCUACGGGAGGCAGCAGUAGGGAAUCUUCCGCAAUGGGCGAAAGCCUGACGGAGCAACGCCGCGUGAGUGAUGAAGGUCUUCGGAUCGUAAAACUCUGUUAUUAGGGAAGAACAAAUGUGUAAGUAACUAUGCACAUCUUGACGGUACCUAAUCAGAAAGCCACGGCUAACUACGUG
rnacentral:rRNA from 1 species